rnacentral:rRNA from 1 species
GAUGAACGCUGGCGGCGUGCUUAACACAUGCAAGUCGAACGGAAAGGCCUCAGCUUGCUGGGGUACUCGAGUGGCGAACGGGUGAGUAACACGUGGGUGAUCUGCCCUGCACUUUGGGAUAAGCUUGGGAAACUGGGUCUAAUACCGAAUAUGACCACUUCUUGGAUGUUGUGGUGGAAAGCUUUUGCGGUGUGGGAUGAGCCUGCGGCCUAUCAGCUUGUGGGUGGGGUAAUGGCCUACCAAGGUGGCGACGGGUAUCCGGCCUGAGAGGGUGUACGGACACAUUGGGACUGAGAGACGGCCCAGACUCCUACGGGAGGCAGCAGUGGGGAAUAUUGCACAAUGGGCGCAAGCCUGAUGCAGCGACGCCGCGUGGGGGAUGAAGGCCUUCGGGUUGUAAACUCCUUUCGCUAUCGACAAAGCCACUUGUGGUGACGGUAGGUAGAUAAGAAGCACCGGCUAACUACGUGCCAGCAGCCGCCGUAA